rnacentral:SRP_RNA from 1 species
UUAAAAUGUCAGUGCAACAUAAAGUGGCGAAACUUGUCAGGGUAGAGAUACAGCAGCAAUAGCAGAAUCUUUAUGUGUGCACUGGCAUUUUUUUAU